rnacentral:rRNA from 1 species
CGUGUAGGCGGUUGGUCAAGUCGGGUGUGAAAGCCCGGGGCUCAGCCUCGGAAGUGCAUCCGAAACUAGCCAGCUAGAGCGCGAUAGAGGAGGGUGGGAUUCCUGGUGUAGCGGUGAAAUGCGUAGAUAUCAGGAGGAACACCGGCGGCGAAGGCGGCCCUCUGGGUCGUUGCUGACGCUGAGACGCGAAAGCGUGGGGAGCAAACAGGAUUAGAUACCCUGGUAGUCCACGCUAUAAACGAUGGGUACUAGGUGUUCGGGGUGUUGACCCCCUGAGUGCCGCAGCUAACGCAUUAAGUACCCCGCCUGGGGACUACGGCCGCAAGGUUAAA